rnacentral:lncRNA from 1 species
CCGCCACUGCCAUCACCGCGAACCGGGACUUUGGAAAUUCGACUGGGUUUGAUCAUUCUGUACCAAGUCUGCUUGCAUUUGACCUAUUGCCGGGCUAGCUUCAUCACUCAAAUAAAGGUACCUCAUCAUUUGACCUGCGACCUUAUUAACGACACAUUUAAUACUGAAUUUUUAAGAAUGUUAGUUUUCCAAACCAUUUUUAAAUGAAUGCUUAGUCCCCACGGCACGUUUGUUUCUGCCAGCCCUGUUUUCCAAGUGAGAAUGCUGCAGCCUUCAGACUGCAGGGGCCAUUGAGGGGUUUGCCGCUUCUUUUAUCACUGUUCUCAAUUUUUUCUAAACAUAAUGGGUCGCAUUGCAUUCAUGUGGCUUAGGGACAAAGAAACCAAAAUGGUUAAUUCUGUUAUGUGCCUGAUUCUAAAGAAAGAAUUCAUAAAUAUCUUUAUAUUCUAGUGUAUUUCUGACCAUUUGGCGCCCAAAUUCAGACCUGAUACAACACCAGUUUUCCAUAUGCUACAGGCUUGCUCUUACGUAUUUAAGGAAAAAGCUAAUGAUUUGUAAUCCAUUUAAUUUGGCUUGGAUGAUGAGUGAUUGUUGAUUUGCAGUGUGAAUCUUGUGCUGUUCUGUCAUACAAUUACCUUAUCCACUCUAACUCGGUUCCUUUUGGUUUGCAGGGUCAUGGUUCAUCUUUACUUCGAGAUCUAACUCUCCAUAGCAAUAAAUUCUACAAAUAUGACCAGCUUCAAUCUGCUUCGAAAUUAUGGUACUUAUCUAUCGUUCUGGGAUAAUUAUCUACUAUUUUAUUGUGCUGGCCUAUUUUCAUGAGCAUUCCUUUCUAUGCCUGAAACCACUUUUCAGUCUUGACAUGGGAUACUGAGUAUUCAUGCCCUCCUACACCUUCCUACAUGGUGUAGGUGAGAGCACUGCAUUGUUGGGGGAUUUAUCCUGAUAUCAGUAGUAAUAACUCAAUAUGUCAGCUAAUUUUGCAUGCUGUAUUCAUCAGAUCCUGUUCACAUGCCUAAUAAUUGAGUAGCUUGUGUUUCUCAUAGAGCAUUAAACG